AUGGUGGCGGCGGCGCCCUCUAGUGGCGGAGGAGGAGGGGGGAGAUGGUGGCGGCGGCGCCCUCUGGUGGCGGAGGAGGAGUGUGGAGAUGGUGGCGCGGCGGCGACCUUCCCCUCACGCAUCCCAUCCCCCUCGUCAUCCCGGAUCCCACCGGACCCGAGGCGUGCGGGCGCGGCAGCGACCUGCAAGGGAAGGGCGACGCUCGAAUCGAUCCAGCCAUGGAUCGGUCCCUGCGGGAGAAACAGAAAAUGA
rnacentral:rRNA from 1 species